UUGACCUCAAAUCAGGUAGGACUACCCGCUGAACUUAASCAUAUCAAUAAGCGGAGGAAAAGAAACUAACAAGGAUUCCCCUAGUAACUGCGAGUGAAGCGGGAAGAGCUCAAAUUUAAAAUCUGGUGGUUCUUGACCAUCCGAGUUGUAAUCUAGAGAAGUGUUUACCUGUGCUGGACCGUGUAAAAGUCUUCUGGAAUGGAGCAUCACAGAGGGUGAGAAUCCCGUCUUUGACAUGGACUACCAGUGCGUCGUGGUGCGCUCUCGAAGAGUCGAGUUGUUUGGGAAUGCAGCUCAAAAUGGGUGGUAAAUGCCAUCUAAAGCUAAAUAUUGGCGAGAGACCGAUAGCGAACAAGUACCGUGAGGGAAAGAUGAAAAGAACUUUGGAAAGAGAGUUAAACAGUACGUGAAAUUGCUGAAAGGGAAACGCUUGAAGUCAGACGCGUUGGCUAGAAAUCAGCCUUGCUUUUGCUUGGUGUACUUUCUUGUUGACGGGUCAGCAUCGGUUUUGAACACUGGAUAAAGUCUUUGGGAAUGUGGCAUCUUUUUUUUGAUGUGUUAUAGCCCAUUGUCGCAUACAGUGGUUGGGACCGAGGAACUCAGCACGCCGCAAGGCCGGGUCUCUGGACCACGCUCGUGCUUAGGAUGCUGGCAUAAUGGCUUUAAUCG
rnacentral:rRNA from 1 species